AUGGCAAUAUUAAAAAUGGAUAUAAUGACACCUGGUCAUAAAGGGAUUGUUGAGAAGGUAAAAGAAGCUUCUGAAUCACCUAAGACAUGGACACUGGAUCGUUGUGACCAUUAUCAUCAUAGUGCCUGUCUGCAUCUUGAGUGUCCAAGCAGAGCUGUCGGCAGCACCUGGACUGGUCAUGCAGUCAGCCACCAGGCUGUGAGGAAGGCUUGCAGGCAGAAGAUCUCCACCUCUCUCGUCUUCUCUGUCAACCACACAAAGGCUUCAAGGAGCCAAAAGGACAAAGGGACUGCAUUUUAUUCUUUCUCUGCAUAACGUCCCAUCCUGGAUCUAAAAGAAAAAGAUUAUUUUCUCAUAUGUGUAUAUAUUCAAUGUAUAUAAUUUUCUUUGUUGAAUCUGUAUUUUAAAAAUAAUUUCCCCUAAGUAAGUGACCUAUAUAUUGUGGAAUUUUGCAUUUUUUGUGUAUAAAAUAGGUGUUGGAAAUGUGGGUGAAUGACUCCAGAUAGCCUCACCAUAAUAGGGAUCAUUUAUCUUGGUGUGUGGGUGAAAAAUGAUAUUUUGUCAUUAGCCCAGAAUUUGGGCUAUUGAUUGUUUGGCUAUUUAUGUUGGGGAUGGGUCUUCCAGCACAGAAUUUGAAGAAAAUAGUGGUUAAGGAG
rnacentral:lncRNA from 1 species